UUUCAGCAGUCUGUCAGGUGGGGGUGGGUGUGCUCCUGUUCACCCCAUCAUUUCAAGUGUAUGGGCUUUGGUUGGGGAGGGGACCCUGCUCUUACGUCUCUGGCAGCUAGGUCAGGGCUCUGGCACUGGUUUGGCUUUCUGCCCCAUUUCCUGACUGGGACACCUGACCCCUGAGCCUUUGGUAACCUUAUUUUUUAUAGUAAGUACCCCAUAAUUUUCUUUUUUCACAUUUUAUUUUAUAAGAAGUUUAGGAAUAUUUUUGCAUGGAUCAUUGUAAACAGAAGGUUCCUUAUUCCUAAUGUCUAUUAACAUAGUGUGCUUACUGAUAAGUACCUUAAAUUGCUUCAUUAGCACUUAACCCACGUGUGUCUGUGUGUGUGUGUGGAGAGAGAGAGAGAGUGUGUGUGUGUAGAGAGAGUGUGUGUGUGUGUGUGUGUGUGUGUGUGUGUGUGUGUGUACCAUGUACCCCAGGCACACAGUUUGUGUCUACUUUAACUCUGUGCUGGUUAUUCCAUCUGUAUGGUGGAUGGUUUAUAAUAUCCAUGAGGUUCCAGGGCUGAACUGAUCAAUUAACAGAAAAGUCCAUUUCCCCAGUUUAGUGUAAUAGAUUAGGAGAAAAUAAGAUUUUAGUGUAUGCUUUAAAAAAGCCCUAAACAUCAAAAUGGGAACACACACACACACACACACACACACACACACACACACACCCUAUGUGUAAGGGUGGAGUCAUUCAAAUGUAGAAGUUACAUCGGAUGCUUCAUUGGGCUUGCUUGAGACAUGGUGCACACAGGGUGAGUGUUUUCACAAGCACUGAAUUAAAUAGUGUUUUCAAGAGCAAGAAGGUUGGGUUGCAUUUUGCCCCCAUUUACAUCAGCUCAUAAACACUUUACCCCCUAUAAUUUUUUAAAGUCUUUUUUCCCUUUUGUGAAGGUGAGUUGGGAGACUUUAUCAAAUACCUUUGCAUAAUGGAAUACAUCUGUGUGGAAAUCUUUUCACAUCAGGGCAUCAGCUACCAAAUAUGAUAAUGAAAGGUAGAUCUUACCUAGUAGGUAAGAAUCUGGACAUAUGAAUAGUAGCAAAACUAUCAUAGAUAGUAAUUUUAACAGCAGUUCCAGUAAAAAUAAUUAAGGAAUAGAACUUGUUAUAAAAUUGCAUAAUUUGAUAUCCCAAGCAUAAUUGUGGAACAGAGAAACGGCCUUUUUUUGUAUGUGACAUUCCUAAUUUGAUACUCUUUCAGCUGAAUUAUGGUUCUUUUGGAAGUGGAGACAGGUAGGCAAGGACCUAAUUCCUCUAAACAUGAACGUCAUCAUCAUGGAUAAUUAAAAAAAAUCUUCUACAGCCUCUCUGCCAAGGUUCAGGAGGCCUGUUUCUCUGCUUAUGGAAGUUUUGUUUGGAUCUGGGCCGGGUGACUUGAGUGUUUAGUGAUGAGCAAUGGUCCCAUCAGCCUGCUGCCUCUGAGAAUUGAGGCCAAUAUCAGGACCAGGGCCAUUCGUGGGAGGCAUGAAGGCAAGGCGCUUCCAGAACCUUUUAUGUCUUCUGUGUUAAAUCUUGUCAGACCAUUCUUGUUGGUAUGGUUAUGAGGCCUACCAGUUGCUGUUCUGUGAAUCUGUUUCUUGAGUGCUAUGCAAAUGUAGUAUUUAUAGGACAUGAGAGAGGUCUUGAGACUUGGGCUAGGUACUUGUUGGUGAGCAUCCUGCCCUUCCCACUCUCGGCGUACAGUGCCUUGCUCCAUCUGGUGGCACCAUCGCUUCUGUAAUAAGAGGAAAUAUAUUCUUAUGGCAUUUUGGAUAUGCUGAUAUCUGGCACAUGAGUUUCUGUGAGUGUGCCUGCCAGUUGGUGGUGAAAGGGUGGCAACACCAACCACAUCAGUAUUGGGGCCUACUUCAAAAGGAAAUCCACCCUUCUUCACCUGUUCCUGUACACAUUUGGAAACAGUAUUACUCUGACUGAUUGGGCCACCUUCUCCCCACCUGGCAGCUAAUGGCUGGAUACCCUAGUCGUCACUAACCUGGGUGUUGCCCAGUCAGGACAGGAUGCCUGUCUGACCCCUCAGCAGGCUCACGGGCAGUUUUAAGGGCAAGUGCUUGGAGGGUGAGGGGCAGCUUCUGGUUCUUUCUGGUGCUUUCUAAGGGUGGGGGUGGGGUUCUCUAGAGAGGAGUGUAGUUGGCUCAGGGGAAGACUGCUUAGCUGUUUCUAGCAUAUCUCAAAUAUUUGUGUUUUUCCCCUGAGCUGUUUAUUAUUCAGCCUGAGCUCUCUGAAGGUGCGUCAGACUAUUUUGAACAAACUUGCAGAUGAUGCACUGCAGAGGAGGGUCUGAUCAUUUUGGGUAGAAAGUUGCAAAGUUGAUCUUACGUGUUUUAGAGGAUUUGUCUCCCCCCCCCCCCCCCCAUUCAUUUGAAGAACAGAAAACCCUAGGGUAACCUUAAAGUUUACUCACUUGGGACAGGGAGACAGAGGAGAGGCAGGCAUCUGUUUAGGGAACCUGCAGUGGGCUUCAGGAAAUGUGUGCUCCCAGGGCUGUUGUGUUGGAGAUGACAGGUGUCUUGUUUGGGCCUCCUGAGCCCUGUCAGUCUCCCAUGGGUCCUUGUGUAGACUAGUGGUCAGUAAAAUAGAUGGGCUCUGCUGUGCUCCUGGCAGGGUUUAACGUGAUAGCUGCUCUAAGGAGAGGUCCCAAGGAGCCACGUGGGUUAUGACUGACUAGGAAAUGGUUCCUUUUUUUUUUUUUUUUUUUAAUGAUUUUUAAAUACUUUUUUUAGACUGUUUUCUUGGUACUUUUUUUAAGCUUAUGUCGGCAUUGUCUUCCAGUGUUAAAGGCAUCCCUCACCUCUGCAUUGAACUUACGGUGUCAAUCAAUACAAAGGAAUGGAACAUCCAUCCUGAGCCAGUUCCAUUAAGUGUAAAUUCAUACUAUUUUAAUUUUUUAUGCAAUCUGAUGAGUAGAGCUCAGAUUUAAAAUUCUUAAAAGCACGUUUAUUGUAACAAGACUUGUUAUGUAUUAAUACUGCAGUUUUCAAUAAAGAUUGACUUGUGUUGCAUAGUG